rnacentral:rRNA from 1 species
AACGAACGCUGGCGGCAGGCCUAACACAUGCAAGUCGAGCGAGGUAGCAAUGCCUAGCGGCGGACGGGUGAGUAACGCGUGGGAACGUGCCCUUUGCUUCGGAAUAGCCCCGGGAAACUGGGAGUAAUACCGAAUGUGCCCUUCGGGGGAAAGAUUUAUCGGCAAAGGAUCGGCCCGCGUUGGAUUAGGUAGUUGGUGGGGUAAUGGCCUACCAAGCCGACGAUCCAUAGCUGGUUUGAGAGGAUGAUCAGCCACACUGGGACUGAGACACGGCCCAGACUCCUACGGGAGGCAGCAGUGGGAAUCUUAGACAAUGGGCGCAAGCCUGAUCUAGCCAUGCCGCGUGAUCGAUGAAGGCCUUAGGGUUGUAAAGAUCUUUCAGAUGGGAAGAUAAUGACUGUACCAUCAGAAGAAGCCCCGGCUAACCUCCGUGCCAGCAGCCGCGGUAA